AACGAACGCUGGCGGCAUGCCUAACACAUGCAAGUCGAACGAAGUCUUCGGACUUAGUGGCGCACGGGUGCGUAACGCGUGGGAAUCUGCCCUUGGGUGCGGAAUAACUUCUCGAAAGGGAUGCUAAUACCGCAUAAUGUCGUAAGACCAAAGAUUUAUCGCCCAAGGAUGAGCCCGCGUAAGAUUAGCUAGUUGGUGGGGUAAAAGCCUACCAAGGCGACGAUCUUUAGCUGGUCUGAGAGGAUGAUCAGCCACACUGGGACUGAGACACGGCCCAGACUCCUACGGGAGGCAGCAGUGGGGAAUAUUGGACAAUGGGCGAAAGCCUGAUCCAGCAAUGCCGCGUGAGUGAUGAAGGCCCUAGGGUUGUAAACUGCUUUUGUACGGAACGAAACGGUCCUUUCUAAUACAGGGGGCUAAUGACGGUACCGUAAGAAUAAGCACCGGCUAACUACGUGCCAGCAGCCGCGGU
rnacentral:rRNA from 1 species